CUACUAAACGAUGUUGAGCACAUUAUACAGUUUUCAAACUAACAUCAACACGAAAUACGAGUAAUAAUUAUAUACUUUCUUUAUUUUGGGGACAAUUAUAUUAAAAUAGGUAUUAUAAUGUUUAGUGAAGUUCAAUAUUGCGAACUGUGCUAUAGCCAUAACAUUAAAUAAUAUUGCACUUGCAGUAACUAUAUAUAAAAUAUUAGAUUAUAAAAGUUUGAAUAGCUUGCCAAUGGCGUGAUUUGUAACAGUUGCACAGUGUGGGUGCGCCUUGCUAGUCUUUCCUGUGACCGACGAUAAUCCGCAUUUAAUGCUGAAGUCAGAUGGGUCUUGACCGCUCGCGUCCGUUUUCUAAAGAG